rnacentral:tRNA from 1 species
GCUGUAGCUCAGUGGUAGAGCAUCUGCUUUGCAUGCAGAAGGCCCCAGGUUCAGUCCCUGGCAUCUCCA